rnacentral:rRNA from 1 species
UAGGGAAUAUUAGAAAUGGACGAAAGUCUGAUCUAGCAACACCGCGUGUGCGAAGAAGGCCUUCGGGUCGUAAAGCACUUUUUGGAGGGAAUAGGAAGGAAUGUACUUCCAGAAUAAGUCUCGGCUAACUACGCGCCAGCAGCCGCGGUAACACGUAGGAGGCAAACGUUAUCCGGAUUUACUGGGCGUAAAGCGCGUGUAGGUGGUACUGUAAGUAGGGCGUGAAAGCUCCUGGCUCAACUGGGAGAGGCCGUUCUAAACUACAGAACUAGAGGAUGGUAGAGGGAGGUGGAAUUCCAGGUGUAGUGGUGGAAUGCGCAGAUAUCUGGAGGAACACCGGUGGCGAAGGCGGCCUCCUGGACCAUUCCUGACACUCAGACGCGAAAGCUAGGGUAGCAAACGG